UAGAAUAGCAACUAAACUUGCUAACAAAAUCUGGAGCAUUAUAAUGUAAUGGCUUACUUUUGCAGUUUACUUGGCUUUGCAGGUCGACGUUUCCUUUCCCUGUAGUGGUAGCGAACACAGCGCAGUGACACUUUGAUGCCCAGGCUUGCAAAAUGCUUUUGAAUCUCCACUGCUGAUUUUCCAUUUGACUUCAUGAGCCGGAUCUGUCGAGAGUUCUCCUUGCUGAUUUUAGUCAUCUCGGCUUCAAUCUUGCAAUGGUAGUCUGACCAAUGAGCAACAAUCACACCUACAGUUCAGUAUGCAGAAGAUAAAUAGAGCUGAAGGUCUGUGAAACGCCACUUUUCUGCAUUUGUGCCACGGAUUCAUUUGGAGGAUGGAGGCUCCGGCUUUUUACAAACACGGACCAAAACGGCCUGCACCAAAGGGCAAGAUGCCGUCUCCACAGAUAAAACGGAAAAAAACAU